CACCAAGGCCAGCACGUUUGAUAGGUCUGCAUCUCACCUCUGAGGAUCACGAAGUGUGUGUGAGCCGCGUCCCAGCAGGGAGGCACUGAUGCUCACAAGGAUUCUGAAACUUCUGUGUGCUGUUAGGAAAUGCUCUUGAUCCAUGAGUCUCCAACAUUGCCAACCCUUCCAGCAAGAAGGGGAGAGAUCUCAUAGCAGGGGGCUUGACUAAAUUUGAAGAGUCGGGAAAGUGACAUUUCGGUUAAGACUUUUUUUUUCUUUGAGACAGGAUCUCGCCCUGUUGCCCAGGCUGGAGUGCAGUGACUCAAUCCUGACUCACAGCAAUCUUGACUCACGGGUACAAGCGAUUCUCCUGCCUCAACCUCCCCAGUAGCUGGGAGUACAGGUGCCCACCACCACGCCCAGCUAAUUUUUGUAUUUUUAGUAGAGACAAGGUUCCACCAUGUUGGCCAGGCUGGUCUCAAACUCCUGACCUCAAGUGAUGCACCCGCCUCAACCUCCCAAAGUGUUGGGAUUACAGGCGUGAGCCAUUGCACCCGGCCUCAGCUAAGUCUUCAAGGUCGGCCAAGGGAUGAAGAAGGUUGGGGAGAAGAGUGGUGAUGAGGGGAUCCCAGCUGCAGGUCGCAUAUUUAAAGGCUUGUGGCUGGGAGGGAGGUCCAGAGAAGAACUGAGUUCUAGAAUCUGAAAGAAAGCCAGCAUGGGUCAGAAUGGAAAGGGACCAGACCACAGUGUCAGCCACUCAAGCUCCCCCAGCCAGGCCUCCUGCUGAAUUUUGAGGGCUGCAGUAAAAAAGCGGGCACACAGCCAGCCCUGUGUGUUGCCAGCAGCCUCGCAGAGCCAGGAGGUGGCGCUGUUGGCACACAUAUUGUGCUGUUGGCGCUGCGCAGCCGCAGCCCGGGACCUUGGAGGAUAAGGUGGUCCGAGCUGCUGCUUCUGACGUCAGCAGUAACAGAGGCACAAAGCAGGAGCAGGAGGAGUAAAUGUCUGUACCAGGAAAGAGCCAAGCUGAGGACACUUUACAGAAAAACAUUAACAUCUGCCGUUUUUCUAAAUUGAAUGUGGAAGAUGAUCCUGACAGGCUGAACAAAGACGCUUGCUGUCGGGUGUGAUGUUUGACAAGGGAAUCUUCUUUCAUUUUCUCCUCUGAUGAACCUCUCUACCAGAUAAGCCGCAGCAG
ensembl:lncRNA